UACAGAGGGUGCAAGCGUUGUUCGGAAUUAUUGGGCGUAAAGCGCGUGUAGGCUGCGACGCAUGUCGGGUGUGAAAGCCCUCGGCUCAACUGAGGAAGUGCGCCCGAAACUGCGUUGCUCGAGUGCUGGAGAGGGUAGCGGAAUUCCCGGUGUAGAGGUGAAAUUCGUAGAUAUCGGGAGGAACACCAGUGGCGAAGGCGGCUACCUGGACGGACACUGACGCUGAGACGCGAAAGCGUGGGGAGCAAACAGGAUUAGAUACCCUGGUAGUCCACGCUGUAAACGAUGGGAACUAGGUGUGGCGGGUGUUGACCCCUGCCGUGCCGAAGCUAACGCAUUAAGUUCCCCGCCUGGGAAGUACGGCCGCAAGGUUAAA
rnacentral:rRNA from 1 species